CGCGCUCCCCCAGGCCUGUUGAUAAGCGCUUCGACCACGUAUCCUACGGCUUAAUGAAGAUCCUACUACCCCAAGGUGUUCUUUGAUGUCGUUGUGGACAUCUGAGACAUCCCACAUUGCUCUAGAAACAUCAAGGUCUAGGACUCUUUCUUGCGUAUGAGGUAUUGAGGAACUGGGUUAAUCCAUCAUCUACUGCUAUGUACUAUAAAUGAAUGCUUAGUGCUAUGAGAGUCAUCUAUAGUGUAUUGCAUAAAUGUUCAAUGACUAUGAUGACUACUAUGGACAUCCACAAUAAUCUAAGAUGUUUUUCAACCAAAAUUUAAUUACCUGAAUGCAUCCCACCAUGCUUGACCCUGUGCUAGAUUUACAAAAGGUAAACAACACAGGGGGAACAUGUGAUGUACUUGAGGGGAAAUUUCAAGUCUGUGUUCCAGCUGACGAUCAGCAUCCAAAUAGGCCAAUAAAUACAUCAUAAAAUUGUAUAUUACAUAUGCCUCAUAACACUCCCUCAAACUGUCAACGUAUAUGCUGCCUUCUGGAUAAACCAGACCAAGCCACUACAGGAAUUCAAAAAGAAUUUGUACUUAAAAUAGAGAAGUUUUUGACCAAGAGAAUAUUAUGAUGGAAGUAUCUCCCUGUGAUUACAAUAAACUUCUCAAGCUUGACAAGAAAGUGAACUUUGAUUUCCUACAAUCAUAUCAUUUUCUUCCAAAUGGAUUCAACUGUUUAUGUAUCAUAACAGUGUAUAUAUAGCCAUAAUCUUUCUUGUGACAGGAAUUUUAUUUACACAUUAAACAAAUAAAAUUAAAUAAAAUUUGAUAUUUGCAAUAUUUUUAAAUAUAUAUGUUAUUUUAAUAGUAUGAACAUGAUAAUAUCCAAUAACCAUUUUAAUAAUAUUUUUAAAAUUAAGAAUUUGCAGGUUUUAUAAAAAGUGAGUUUAUUUAUUCAAAGCCUCUACCUAUAUCAAUGACUCUCGACAUUUACUAUAUUAAAUGACAAUCAAUACGAGUUCUUUGACUUGAAAGAUGGAAAAAAGACAUUUUAUUUAAAUAAAUUAUUACCAUUAAUAAUUGUUGCCAAUUAUGAUAUUCAUGUAAUGAAUAUAAAAAAUUUAAUAAAAUAUACAAAUAUAAUAUUAAAAAAAAAAUUUGUCCCUUUUCUAAUCCUGAAUGUUAACUUUUUAUUUGAUAUUUAAGAAAUAGGAAAAAUACUAUAUAUAUACAUACAAUUAUGUAUUACAUAAUCCAGCAAUGAUAUAUUUUUUGAUUGAAAGCAGAUUAAGUAAUUGUCAAUCAAUACAUCCCUAUACAAUAAAAAAGUGUAUCGUUAAAAAAGUUACUUCCCACAAUUUACCAAUUAAUCUAAAAUAUAUAGUGCAUAAUAAUUAUCCACACUGAUAUCUAACUAAUAGAAAGUUAUGAUGUAAUAAAAUUUCAUAAGAAGCUAUAAAUUCCUAACUAAUUUUACAAGCAAUAAAUAAUCAACUCAGAAGUCCAACCACAUUGAAAGGAAGACAAUUAAGCAACAAAUCAAUAUACAAUUUCUAAAUAUCAGCAAACAACCUCAAGACAACAUCAAUCGUAGAAUUCAUCAACAUACCUUAUAAUGUAUUUCUGCAGUCUAGGUUGUGUAUAAUAUAUCAUGUGUUGGACAAUUUCGUAGAAAGCAAUAGGCAA